GGGGAUAUAGCUCAGUUGGUAGAGUGUUUGUACAAGGUACAAGGGCCCUGGGUUCAAUUUCCAGCACCACCU
rnacentral:tRNA from 1 species